rnacentral:rRNA from 1 species
UAAUACUCCAUAGAUUAGAGACACUGGAAUGUUCUUUAGUCGAAAGUUCUGGCGCCUUAGGAUGGAUCUGCGGUCGAUUAGGUUGUUGUUGGGGUAACGGCCCAACAAGCCUGUAAUCGAUACGGGUUGUGGGAGCAAGAGCCCGGAGAUGGAAUCUGAGACACGAUUCCAGGCCCUACGGGGCGCAGCAGGCGCGAAAACUUUACAAUGCAGGAAACUGUGAUAAGGGAACUCCGAGUGCCCGUAUACGCGGGCUGUCCAGGUGUUUAAAAAUCAUCUGAAGAAAGGGCCGGGCAAGACCUGUGCCAGCCGCCGCGGUAAUACCGGCGGCUCGAGUGGUGGCCACUAUUAUUGGGCUUAAAGCGUCCGUAGCUGGACCGAUAAGUCUCUUGGGAAAUCCGCCGGCUCAACCGGCGGGCGUCUAAGGGAUACUGUUAGUCUAGGGACCGGGAGAGGUGAGAGGUACUCCGGGGGUAGGAGUGAAAUCCUGUAAUCCCCGGGGGACCACCGAUGGCGAAGGCAUCUCACCAGAACGGCUCCGACAGUGAGGGACGAAAGCUGGGGGAGCGAACCGGAUUAGAUACCCGGGUAGUCCCAGCCGUAAACUAUGCGCGUUAGGUGU